AUGAUGAACUGGAACCUCAAAGAUCAGAGUGUUGUAUUUAAGUGUUUUAACUGGAUUAAACAAAAAAAUAUUUUUUCAUUGCAGUCAUUUUCAUUACGAAAGUUCCUGCUUUUCUCCUUUGGUGUACACCAUGAUGAACACAAUGUCAUCUUUGGAAUGGUUUAGAAUUACUUGACUUUCAACUGUAUUAAAUUGCUGACCAUUGUUAGAAAGGUCCUCAAAGAAAACACAUUAUGAAAACAGCUUUAUUAAGUUCCAUGGGGGAAAAUAAGUAACAGAUUUUUGCAGCAGCAUUGAAUAGAAAGAGGUAAAUAAGAAAAUUGGCAAUACUUUUUGAUACCACAUUUUUAGUAUCUGUGUUCAUUUUUGUAGUUAUAACAUAAGAAAUGACUUUGUAUUCUUUUAUUCCUUUUAUUAUUGUAUUGUUUUAGAUUAUAAAGUAUAUUCCCAGUUAUUUCAUCAUUAAAACUAUUACCCCUUUGAGAUAGGUGGAAUCAUCAUCAGUCAUCUUUUACAGAUAAGGAAAUUGAGUCUUAGGAAAGUUCCUUUUAUUCCUUAUAAUAUUUACUGGUUGCCAGAUGCUGUAUAUUCAUUUUGUAAGGUAUGAUGCCUUGGUCUUGCACCUCAACUUCAUCUUUUCUCUCUCAGGAUUACAUGUUCAUUUCAACUUGAGCUAGGCAGCGCCAAGGCCUUGCAGCACUAUUAAAAGUACAUACUGGGAAGUGGUUGCUCAACUGAUAGAGUGUCCGCCUACCAAACAGAGAGUCCAGGGUUUGAUACCCAGGUCCUCCUGACCCGUGUGGUGAGCUGGCCCACGUGCAGUGCUGCUGCAUGCAAGGAGUGCAAUGCCACACAGGGUGUCCCCCGCAUAGGGGUGCCCCGUGCACAAGAAAUGUGCCCCUCAAGGAGAGCUGCCCUGUGCAAAAAAAACCCAGCCCACCCAGGAGUGGCACUGCACACACGGAGAGCUGACACAGCAAGAUGACGCAACAAGAACAACAACAACAAAAGUGACACAGUUUCCUAGUGCUGCAUGACAAGAAUUCAAGUGGAUGCAGAAGAACACACAGCGAAUGGACACAGAGAGCAGACAACGGGGGAAGGGGAGGGAAAUAAAUAAAAUAAAUCCUUAAAAAAAAGUACGUACUGGCA
rnacentral:lncRNA from 1 species